rnacentral:rRNA from 1 species
AGAACACAGGUGCUGCAUGGCUGUCGUCAGCUCGUGUCGUGAGAUGUUGGGUUAAGUCCCGCAACGAGCGCAACCCUUGUCCUUAGUUACCAGCACGUUAUGGUGGGCACUCUAAGGAGAACUGCCGGUGACAAACCGGAGGAAGGUGGGGAUGACGUCAAGUCCAUCAUGGCCCUUACGGCCAGGGCUACACACGUGCUACAAUGGUCGGUACAGAGGGUUGCCAAGCCGCGAGGUGGAGCUAAUCUACACAAAACCGAUCGUAGUCCGGAUCGCAGUCUGCAACUCGACUGCGUGAAGUCGGAAUCGCUAGUAAUCGUGAAUCAAAAUGUCACGGUGAAUACGUUUCCGGGCCUU